UUCUUUGGUGGUGGUGGAGAGUGGUAGUAGGGCUUAGGGCUGACGUGAUGCACUGGUGGAGGAGGAGAGGAAUAUUUGUAUGGCUUCUUUGGUGGUGGUGGGGAAUGGUAGUAAGGUUUAGGGCUUAACAUGCACUGGUGGUGGAGGAGAAGAAUAUUUGUAUGGUUUCUUUGGGGGUGGUGGAGAAUGGUAGUAAGGUUUAGGGUGGACAUAUGGUGGAGGAGGAGAAGAAUACUUGUAAGGUUUCUUUGGUGGUGGUGGUGGUGAACUGUAAUGGUAGGGAGGAGGAGGUGUAUAAACGGUGGGGGUGGAGAGUGGUAGUAGUAUGGUUUCUUAGGUGGUGAGUACACUGGUGGUGGUGGUGAAGAGUAAUGGUAAGGUGGUUUAACUGGAGGGUACACCCCCGGUGGUGGGGAAUGUGGAGGGUACACCUUAGGUGGUGGUGGAGAACUAUAAUGGUAAGGUGGUGAGACUGGUGGAUACACCUCAGGUGGUGGUGAAUGUGGAGGGUAUUUCUUAGGUGGUGGUGGGGAAGAGUAAUGGUAAGGUGGUUUAACUGGUGGGUACACCUUGGGUGGUGGUGAAUGUGGAGGGUACACCUUAGGAGGUGGUGGUGAAGAGUAAUGGUAAGGUGGUGAAACUGGAGGAUACACCUUAGGUGGUGGUGAAUGAGGAGGAUACUUCUUAGGUGGUGGUGGUGAAGAGUAAUGGUAAGGUGGUGAAACUGGAGGGUACACCUUAGGUGGUGGUGAAUGUGGAGGGUACACCUUAGGUGGUGGUGGUGAAGGGUAGUGGUAAGGUGGGGAAACUGGAGGGUAGACCUUAGAAGGUGGAGGAGGUGAAGAAUACAAGUAGCUGUUUGCUGAAAUUUGAGAU
rnacentral:lncRNA from 1 species